UAGAAAUAUUACCUUUAGAAAAACCAUUUAGAUAACAAAAAUCUAUACGAUUAAAUUUAAAGAGCUAAGUGUUUUAGCCUGUUUGUCUCCUUUCCGACAAUCGUCUGAAGUAUUAUAUGAUAAUAAAUAGUUAGUGUGUGUAAUGUGCAUUACAACUUCAUACGAUGAUUUCUUUGAUUAGCGUACCUUAACUUAUCAAACCCCAAAUAAAGUUCCGUAGCUGGUUCC
rnacentral:lncRNA from 1 species